GGGCAGGAAGGAAAGCAGUUGUUAUGGCAACAUCUUUGGCAGCCUAUUUUGAGUCCUCCCCAGGUUCAAAACAACAGCUUCCAGCAGGUUCCCUUGAGGAAGAGGAACUCCAGCCCAGCAACUGCCCUUGGCCAAUCUCCUGCCAGAUUUCGGUGGCAAGAGGAAGGUGGCAGCCAAUGAGGAGGGCUGCAGCUUCUGUCAUCGGGCCCUGAGCCAGACUGGAAGAACCAGAAGGCAGGCGCACGUGACUGUUUCCAUGGUGACCUCCCUGAGCAACCUGACUGGUCCUGUUUUUGAGCACUGGAAAAUUCCACCCAGCCUCUGGCCUGAUUUUGUUAUUUUCUCUGCCUCCUUCCUGCUCCAAGGCCUGAUGAAUUCACUGCCAGUGGUUAACCCCUUCCUGAGAUGUGCCUGGCUCCAGUCAGAUCUGGGGGUCUGGGCAGGGGGGCUGUGUGCCCUGCACUGUGCUUAGUGCUGGAGUGGGGAGGGAAGGAAGCCCGAGACAUGGUAGUGACAGCCACCAUUUAUAGGACACGUUGUUCCAACCAGGCACCUUCCUAAGCUGCUGACAACCUCACAACCCUGAGAAGAGCGUACUACCCAGAUAAUUUCUAUUUCACUGAGGAAUAAACUUGAUUCAGAGAGGUUAUGUAACUUGCCAGCAUCAGGGAGAACAGCCAGCAAGUGGAGGAACCAGGCCAGACCUAGUGUGUGGACCCCUGGGGCCUCUCUCUCCGUGGCCCCUUUAUAACUCGCACAGUGUCAUAGAACCAGAUGGUAUUGGGGACAGGGUGCAGAGGAGGGAGAGAUCCAUGGUCUUGGGGGAGCUGAAGGAAGGUGACAUUUAGGCUGAGUGGAAGAACAGGGAAAGACCCGUGGGCUCCAGGACACCCAGGUUGCCAGGCUGGAGCUGGGGGCUGGUGAGCGAGGCCACACUGGCCCCAGGGAAGGCUGCGGCCAGGGCCCAGGGCCAAGUCCUCACCAUUUGGCCUCCAGAACUGGCCAUGCUGGGAUUCUGGCUGGGGGUGAGGAGGGAAGUCAAGCCUAUGAACAUUUCUACUGGACUCCGGCUGGGGAAGGGCUGGCUUGGGCUGGGGGUGGAGCUCAGAGCCAGCAGCAAGAACCGGGAGUGAGCCUCUCAGAGUCCCUAGUAGGGUCGCACAGAUUCGACUGUGUGGAUGCCACAUAAGCUGCAUGCAGAGCUGCUCUGAGCUGAGGCAGGGCUAUAGGAAGACUGAGACUCUGUUUUUAAGGAUGUCAAAUGACGAUGACAAAUAAUAAAUCAUGUGCCAAAGUUCAAGGUAACAGCACACAAGUCACCGAGUAGAGGGUGUGACCAUAGGAGUGCUGGUGAGGUCACUGGACCACGAGGGCCACAGGUAUCUGCAGGAUGGACUGACCAUCCAGCAGGGCGGGCUUCCUGCAGAAGGAAAAGGGCCCCUACCUGGUUCCUAAAGUGGGGGCUCCCACUGGCAGCGACAAUGGGCAUGUCCUUGGGGGAGAGGUGGUAGGAUGUCCCAGGCACUAGGGAUCUGCCAGCAAAUGGGGCUGGAAUAGAGGGGCACAACUGAUUGAGCUUUAUGGCCCCAGCUCAGGGUGGGGCAGUGGGUGAUAAAGAUCUGGGACACGUUGGGCUUCAGCUGAAGUCUUUGCCUAAGCAGAACAGUCAUGGAAAUCUCCACCUGGAGUCCCCUUGACCCUCAGAGGAGUGAGGGGACAUGUUAACAAACAAUCAUCCAGGAAAAAAUAGGCUGUGUUGUGACAGAGAGUAACUAUGGGGUGGUGAUGCACGACGACUUUGGAUAUGCUGGUCAGGGAGGCCCUUUCUGAGAAGUGACAUCCAGGCAGGGCGAUGAGAAUGAGUGUCAUCUGAAGAGUUGGGAGGGACAUUACAAGCAGAUGUGUCAUCAAGAGUAAAGAACAUGAGUCUGGAAAUGGCCAGGGCCUCUCUCAACUCAGAAGCCAUCCUUCUGCCCAAGGAGCAGAGUCCAAACUCCCUCUCCAGCCCGUUCAGGCCCUCCCAGACCUCACUCCGGUCUGCCCUUCCUGCUUCCCCUGCUUUCUAGGGAGUUCCCACCACCUGAGGAGCUUUACAGUCCAUUCCGCCUCAAUCACUGUAUGGCUCUCCUCUUACAUUAGCCCUGGAGAAGGACCCAUAAUGCUAUGGGCUUCUGUUUCUACCUGGUGUGUGCUGAGGAAAAGUUCCUGGAACUGAGUGAUCUCUGCCCCCUUGUUCUGCGAGACUUGUCUGUGGCAUGUGGGCCAUAGUUGUGUUGAGGAAGAAUAAAGAUGCUUCUGUGUGCAUGUAGAAGGUGUGAAAUGUUUAAUAAGCAUCAUCCUGCGCAUGUGGUGCUAACACAAACAUCCACGUGACACCUCAAGUGGGUGACUGCACAGAUGAGGGAUACAGGAAUGCGAUGACUCACCGGGAGGCCUCACUGUGGCUUCAGGCAAUUUCCGAAGGUCCACUCAGCAGGCCGUGGAGGGUGAGUAACUGGAGGCCCAGUACAGGUGAGGGCUGGGGGCAGCACCUCCCGCAGGGAGUCACCCAGACCAGUGACAGCGAGGCCUGGGCCUUGGGCUCCUCCACCCCGGAGGGUGAAUCUUCACCUGGAGCUCCGUGGGGAGGGAAGGCGGCCCUGGGGUUCCUCCCCCACCUUUGCGGAUCCCAGUCUGUCUGCGAGUCUGUCAGAGAGGAAGCGGCUCCCACUUUCCCACGCAGUUCCUCUCAAUGCGAUUUCACUCCAUCCCGAUGGGCAGGCGUUUGCGUCAAAUCUAAACGCAUUUUGUUCCCAUUGCAGCACUUCGGGUCUGCCUAGUCACUUCCUUCUCCCUUACUAACACCCUCCAAUACCUAAACGGCACGACAAACUGCUGAGAACCUCACAUCAUGACAAAGCUGAUUUUCACAAGUGUCUCUGGACCAGACAUUCCGGGAGGUGAACGCGUCGUCCCUCCGCAGCCCCUCCUGCGCUGGGUCAUCAGUGACGCUGCACUCAGGGGGUUCCACCACCCGCACUCUUUUCACUGUGCUGCUUGGGUUUUAAUUCUGAGAGCUACCAUUCCAGUUGGUUCACUUAGUCAGUACUCAAUAGACAUAAUGAGUUUCUAUUGUGUGCCAGGCACUAGGGAGACCAAGAAAGACCUCCUAGGCCUCAGUUUCCUCAUCCGUCUAAGGGGACAGCAGCAGCAUCUCCUUCACAGGGUGGUUGGAAGAACUGAAGGGAGACCAUGCACGGAAAAGGACGUAGCACAGUGCUCCACAAAUGCUACAGGAAAGAAGGCUUUCUGCUGGAUUUACUGUCCUGCAGACCCAGCAGGGACAAAGGAGGGACCCAGGAAAGCAUGGGAGACUCUGUUCUCUGCUGGGGAGAGGAGGACAGUAGAGUCUCCACUGAAGACUAACUGGGCCCAAGAGGAGGGCCCAAAAGGAGCGUGGACAGCCUGGGAAGGAAGGCCUAGGAGUGCUGGGGUGAAGCCAGUGAGGGGCCUCGCUGAGCUUGAAGCUGGGAGAGAUGGGGCCGAUGCAGCUCCUCUGGAGAGCCACCUUCCGCCCUUUGUCGUCACGCUGUCCUCCCACAACUAUGGUGCUACAGAUGGGCUUCCACAGCCAGGCCUUCUGGAAAGAUCCACAAACAGGCUGCAGGGCCCAGCGCCAAGGACAUCAUGUAGUGAAUAAUGUGCUGCAUAAACUAAAUUAUGAAUUUAUGUGGUGAAUAAACUAAAGAAGGGAACCGGCAGCAGGGAGCUCUCAGGCUGGGAGUGGGGAAUGUUCUUUCAAGAUAUUCCCCCCGCCCCCCACCCCCCACCCCCAGAGGAUUCUAUCUCACAAUGGUUCCUUCCUCUGAGUCUUAGAGGAGGCUCUAUGAGAAGAUGGAUGCCUCUCUCAGGAAGCUAAGAGGAAAGUGUUUCCCUCACUCUUCUGCCAAGUGAUGUUCGGUGCCUGUGAGGGACAGCCCCAGAGCUGCCUCUCCUUCCUGACAGCAUUUUGGGGAAGACCAACGACACAGCCACUUCUAGUUUCUGCAACUCGUUUUUGCUGGAAUUGCCCUCAGCUCUUGCCUGCUAAUGGUGCGUCUGCGGGGUUUCAGUGGUUGAUUUUAGACUUUCUCCAGGGUACAUUUUUAACUGUCCAAAAUCCCCUAGAAAACAACCAUCUCCCUUCCGUGUAAGAGCUCUGAGCUGCGUCAUCUCUGUGGGUUUCUUCCUGCCGCAGGAGCUGGCUGCUGUGCAAAGAGGAGGGAGCCGAAUGUGUGUGCGGUCAUUGUUCUAGAAAUGAGCUCUGGGAAGGACCCAAAUGAAGACUAGGUUUCAGACUGAGGCGCAGGGCAAGAGACAGAAUGCUGAAGCACCAGUGGAGAGAGCAGACGCAAUGGGACAUUCUGAAGCUAAAAGGACCAUGGAUGCAGGCCAGAGCAAAGAUGCCUUGAAAAAAUUUAGUUUUACGUAAAAGGGAUCCUGAGCUCAAAGAACUGAGAGGAGGGCACAUAAUCAAAUGUAUUAUUAAUCUCCUCACCAAAGAACAUGGUGACUUUAGGCUAUCUUG
ensembl:lncRNA